rnacentral:misc_RNA from 1 species
UUAACUUUUUAAAAUGGUUACUCUGACAAACAAUUACAAGAGUAUUAAGGUUUUCUUUGGCAGACGCUGACCAGCAAUAGCCGGCGGUACUUAAUACGGGCCUGCCAAAGCAACAAUAGUAUUGUAAACAAAGGGUGGGAGAUAUACCCUGGAAGGGCAUUUUCUCUGUAAUGAUCCUUCCGCAGGUUCCACAAAUAAAAGGCUCGCUAAAGCCAGUGCUCGAUCAUAUCUUAACCCUUGAAGGGCCACCUCUAUUUGACCUGUGAACUCAAAAAUGAGCCGCUAGUAAUACAUUUGUAUAUCCUAGCAGGGUAAAGGUGUUGCCUAUUUAAAUAGACUCAAGCGUAGGCAAACCUAAUGACCUACGGAAA